GGUGGAGAUGCUUCCGAGACGAAAGCACAGAAAGCAAAUGCAGAACUUCCCUGCCUCUCCGUCCUUCCCUCAUUUUGAACAGAGACAGCAGCUACCUGUGACUGCCCUGGGGUGAAUGUGCAGCAUCUGGGGUAAAUUUCUUCCCACGCCUGCCCGCAGCAGUCGAGACAGAAGCUGGCACAGGGCUGCCCUUCUUGUGAGCCAGGCAGCAAAAACCAGGCGCUGAGGCUCAGAACUGCUGACUCAAGCCUCCAUGAAGGAACAGAAAUCCAGAAAGCCGGGCCAGAAAUAGCAUCCGUCCCAGUUCCCACCCUGAGUCCUGCCAAACAGUGCUGCAACAGUCAGCGUUCUGGCCACAGAGAGUGAGGAUGCAGGAUGGCUCGGCCCAUUUCCCCAACUACGUCAGUCUGGACAGAUGUCUCAGGCUGUGUUGGCAGAGGCACUGCUGGUACCACGUGCCAACCUCGGGACAAGCUGCCUCCUCUUGGAAAUGAAGCAGGGACGAUGCACCAGGGAAUCAUGUCAUCAAGUCAGCCGUGUCAACACGCGUUUAUGGAAUGGAAUGGAAUAGAGUAUCACUGCAGCCCACCAAGUAAGGGAAGGUCCGUGCCAAUCGUGGACACAUAUGGGGCUGAAGCCAGCGGGACAGCCCAGCACCCACUCCGCGGCAGCUCACAUUUCGGAGACUGAGCGGGAACCAGGGGACCCAUCAAUGCCUCCGCGCGUCUCACCGGCCGGUGACGUGGCUCAGCGUAGUUAUGCUCAGUCUGCCCCGGACCCAGUGGGCCUCAGAGGCAAGAGAACAAUGGAAACUUGACCUGCGUAACCAAGGAAUGAUGCCACGAGAGCCCAGUUUGGUCAGCGCAGAGUCUAAUCCCCGGAGACCCUCAGCCCAACAACCCAGCCCCUUUCCCUAGUGAGGCAGAGAGGCUCAUCUGCACCCCGCCUACAAGGCAAAGUGCCGCGCUGGGGAGCGGACUGGCGAACUGGCUCCAGAGCGAAGAUGCAUCAUGUUUUCCAAAGGGCUGACUUCUCUAACUCGGGUGGAGGGAAUGGGGAGGUUUCUGCCCUUCCCCUCCUGCGCAGGAAAAACUCUGGAGUCUUGGAGAAGUGUUGACAGAGGGAAGGGAGCAAUUUGGGGCAGCUGCCCAGGGCGGGUGGGGCCGGGAGUGUGGGGGCACCUCACAGGAAAGCCUGAAGAGCCAACGCCACAGCCGCCACAGUCUGCAGCUCAGGGUAGCAUUUCUCAAGGGGUGUCUCCUGGGCCUCCUGCCCAGCACCGGGGAUCCGGCUUCCUCCUCCCUGCAAGAAGCUCAGCUGCUUCUCCCAUCCCGUUUCUCCCGCGUCUAUCCAGACAGCCCUUGGCCAGGUUUCCAAGUCACCAAUUCCUAGGGGACAGCUGUCCGCAGCAGGGAGUGAGAGGCCAACUCUGAACAGAGAUGAUGCUUGCGUGGGCUCACACCCACACCCACUCAGCUCAUGUCCAACACACCAGGCUCUUUGCCACAAGCUCUCAGAGGUCAGCUGUGGCUGCCUUGGUGAGGUGAGGGCUUUCAGCUUGUAUUCCUGGAAAUUCUUAUUAUCAGACCCCUCGCCUGGCUUCAGCCUCGUACAGCUCUCCAAAGAGCUGACAGCUCUGGAAAAGUCAGGGUGACCUGCUGACCCCACAAAGCCUCAGGAGGGCUACGAUGGAGGGGAAAGGAAGGCCCAUCAGAAGCGUGGUGACUGCAGCAAUGGUCUCCCUCCCAGGCAGGGAUAGGAGGCAGAGACUUGAAGCUCUCUCUCCUUCCCAGAACCUCACUUUUCUCCCUCUCAAAGUCACAUCUGUUCUCCCCAAGGCCUACGGCCUAAUGAUUACCAAUGAGAGUGGGGGGAGGGGAGUGUGAAAACUCCUGGAGAAAAGCCAUUUGCACUGGAAACGUGGGAUUGUGUCAUCGUUUCCACAGCAGCCGCAAGAAGCAGGAAGAGGCAGCAGGAAGUCACCCAGCAUGUUUGCAAGAACAGAGCAUCUGUCAAUUCUGUAAUAAGAUGUGCCCUGGGCUUUCUUUGUCAAUACACCAGGUCUCACUGCCUCGCUGCUCCCCUCCAAACCCAAAGAGAGAAGACAAAGCCACAGAUAUGGCGGGCACUGCAGCUGCCUGCGCAUAACACCCAGAAGGCACGCUGGCUCCAACAGGCGAUGCCUGGCUGGUGGCAGGAACCCAUGGAAGACGUAUUUCCAAAAUCAAGAGUCCAUCCAGGACCUCAAAUUCUGGCCCAGGGCUGGGCAUGGUGGCUCACGCCUGUAAUCCCAGCACUUUGGGAGGCUGAGGCGGUCGGAUCACCUGAGGUCAGGAGUUCGAGACCAGCCUGGUCGACAUGGUGAAACCCCAUCUCUACUAAAAAUACAAAAAUUAGCCAGGCAUGGUGGCGGGUGCCUAUAAUCCCAGCUACUAGGGAGGCUGAGGCAGGAGAACUGCUUAAACCCGGGAGGCGGAAGUUGCAGUGAGAAGAGAUCACGCCAUUGCACUCCAGCCUGGGCUAUGAGAGCGAAACUCUGCCUAAAAAAAAAAAAAAAAAAAAAAAAUUCUGGCUCAGCCUGGGUGAAUAACGACUUCCAUUUCAGUGAAAUCAAAUGUUCAACCUUACAUUUUCGAAACUUGCUUUGAAAACCUCCAGGAACUCAUCCAAAGGGAAAAAACACGGUUGAUUGGAUCCCUGGAUCCAGGCCAUGGCCGCAUGGUUGAAAGCAGCUGUGGAGAGAGUCGAGGUGGAGAGUGCACUGAAGGUGAUGGAACCACAGCUGUCAGGGAGCCCCAGGAAAUGGGGGCCUCAAUCCUAAAACCACUCCUGUCUUGGCAGGCAGCUGGCCAGGUCUUUAACAAUGCAGAUCCGAUCGUAUCACUGUACUGCCUGGGGGCUUCUGGACACUCUUAAAAGAAAGCCCAAGGAGCCCAUGACCAAAGCUGCUACAAUUGGAGCAAUGAAAUAACGUAGUAUUGGGUUAUAACCCAAAGAAUAAAAUGAAUAUCCAGGAGUCCAUGCAGAUAUAAAUACAUGAUUGAAUCAAUUAAUAAAUGAAGGAGAACAGAAAAAUCUCCUGUGCAGAAAAACUCUAAAUAAUUUCUGUAGAUGUUCCACCCUAACAGAGGAGGAGCACAACUCUCCACCCCUUAAAUGUGCACACAGUGACUUCCUUCCACAGACGACAGUACUGAAAUGGGGGAAAAAAAGGAACUUGGCGGGGCGCAGUGGCUCAUGCCUGUAAUCCCAGCACUGUGAGAGGUCAAGGCGGACGGGUCACUUGAGGUCAGGAGUUUGAGACCAGCCUGGCCAACAUGGUGAAACCUUGACUCCACUAAAAAUACAAAAAUUAGCCAGGCGUAGUGGCGGGAGCCUGUAAUCCCAGCUACUCAGGAGGUUGAGGCAGGAGAAUCGCUUGAGCUUCUGGGGUGGAGGUUGCAGUGAGUGGAGAUGGCACCACUGCACUCCAGCCUGGGUGACAGAGUGAGACUCUGUCUCAAAAAAAAAAAGUAACUUUACAGUGGAGACAGUCAACAAACAUGACCUCAGCCAAGCAACUGAGGUCAAUGUCAGCAGUGAUAUGUCAUGUCGAUGGUAUGUACCCUUGAUAGGAUGUGAUGAAAAUGACACUUGAUCUCUGUUCUUCCUCCCAGAACCCACAGGCCCAGUCCAAUCAUGAGAAAAGCAUCAGACAAAUUCCAAUAGUGGGGCAUCCUACUAAAUACCCAACCAGAACUCCUUAGAACUGUCAAGGUCAUCAGAAACAAGACAAGUCUAAGAAGAAACAGCCACAGCCAAGAGGCACCUACAGAAACAAAAUGGAAAUGUGGUUUCCUGGAUGGGAUCCUGGAACAGAAAAAGGACAUUAGGGAAAAACUAAGAAAACGUGAAUCAACUAUUGUAUUAGUUCAUUUUCUGUUGCUUAUAGCAGAAUACCUGAAACUAGAUAACUUAUAAAGAAAAGUAGUUGUUUUCUUACAGUUAUGGAGUCUGAGAAGUCAAAGGUCAAGGGGCAGCAUCUGGUGAGGGCCUUCUUGCUGGUGGGGACUCUGCAGAGUACAGAGGUGGUUCAGGGUAUCCUAUAACGAGGGGGCUGAGUAAGCUAGCUCGGGUCUUUCUUCCUCUUCUUAUAAAGCCACCAGUCCCACUCCCAUGAUAUCCCAGCAAUCCAUUAAUUCAUGAAUGGAUUAACCCAUUCAUGAGUGCAGAGCCACAUAACCCAAUCACCUCUUAAAGGCCUCACCUCUCAAUACUGCCAGAUUGGGGGUUAAGUUUCAGCAUGAAUUUUGGAGGCAACAAAUACUCAAACCACAGCAACUAUAGACUUUAGUUAUUAUAAUAAAGAUGUAUCAAUAUAUUGAUAACUUUUUUUUUUUGAGAUGGACCUCAGGGUCCAUGCACAUGCUGUUUCUCCCCAACAAUAUCUAUUCUCUUCUGUAUCUUCAGCAACCUCCGGCCCAGCCCACACAUAAACCCACUCAGCCUAAGCUCUCAGUCGAUUCCCUGGGAAGCCAUCCUCAGCUACCCAGACUAAGUGAGGUUGUGGGUCGCAUCCAUCCAGGGUGCUGCACUUCUCCCCUAGUAACUCAUUGCUCCAUGUCUAUCUGCCAGCACUGGAUGCUCCUUGAGGGCAGGACGGUGCCUGUCUUCCAGACCUCUGUGUCCUGUCCCUAGCACAGUGAUUGGCCCAGAGUAAUCCCAAGUUCAUGUUGCUGAAUGGCUCAGAUGUGUAAAUGAAUGAGAUUCAGAAGCAACCCACACAGAGUGGGCUCCAGGGCUAAAGGUGAGAUCACCCAGUGUGCCUUCUAUGACAGGUUGAGAGCCGUGAGCCCAUCUGACCUCAGGAAAGAAAGACAUAGAGCAAAUGGGUACCACUUGUGUCUGCUGGUGCCAGGAGGCACCAGAGAUGCUCUCUGACCCUAACACUGCAUCAGCAAAAGGUCUGAAGGUUGAAAUUUUUAUUUUAGAUUUCAUCAAAAAUCUACUCUAGCCCUUGGAUAAGUUCUUUUAAAAAAAAUGAGGUAUAACUUACAUACCAAAAAAUAGUAAAAUUCACUCUUUUUAAGUAUAUAGUUCCACAAAUUUUACAGAACAUUUCCAUCACCCCCCACAAAGAUCUCUUCAUGCUCAUUUGUAGUCAAUACAAAUCCCAGCCCCCAGUGCCCACUGAUCUGUUUUCCAUUCCUUAUUGUUUUGCCUUUCCCAGAAUCUCAUCUAGACUGAAUCAUGUAGAAUGUAGUCUUUUGAGUCCAGUCUUUCUCACUUAGCCUAAUGCAUUUGCGAUUCAUCAAUUUAGUUGCAUGAAUCAAUAGCUUGUUCCUUUUUAUGGGUGAGUAAUAUUCCUUGGCAUAGAUAUACCACAAUUUGUUGAUCCUUUCACCAGUGGAUAGAUAUCUGGGUUGUUUCAAAUUUGGGGCAAUUAUGAAGAAUACAUGCAUACAAGUUUUUAGGUAGACAUAUAUUUUCAUCGUUCAUAGGUAAAUAUCUAAAAAUGGGAUUGCUGGGUCAUAUUGUGGAUUUAUGUUUACCUUUAUAAGAAACUGAAGGGCAGAAUAUUUGAGAAGAGUAAUUGUAUUUCUUUCUCCAACACAUUUUGGUUGUGCACCUACUAUGUCCAAGGCAAACCAAGGGUGUUUCCCCAAACAGCUGGGGAUGUUCCUGCUCCCCAACCUCUGCUUGUGCUAUCUCACCAGCAGAAAAGCAGACCUCCCAUACAUUUCCUUGUCCUUGGGCCAAGAAUUAUGGCAGACCAGGCACUGCGGUGGAUCCAAGAGGGGUGGAACAAAUGUUCCUGCUCUGCCAACAACAAUCUGAAGGAUGGAAAGUCCCUCUGGGACUCAGGACCAACAGAGCUGCAGGUAGAUGCCAGGAGAUACAGGACAGAGAAGAGUUUAAUGGUCUAGGUGGCAUCAUCCAGAUAAGGCAGACUCUGGUCCAGCUCUGGGCCCACCCUACUGUUACCCGGUAUUCUAGAAUAUCAUCUGCAUGUGGUGAUGUUCCCUUCCUCUGAUUUCUCUACUACUUCCCGACACUCUGGUUUGGCAGCUGGUUGUCUACGCUUUGGGCACCCCUUAUAUUCUUGCCCUCUACCAUGGCUUAGCUUUCAGCACUGUGUGCUUCCCAGCCAGCAGGAGCUCCCUGAGGACCGAGGCCUGCCGUUCUCAGCACACCCAGAUGCAUUUGGCUCUCUACAAAAUACUGUCCAAGAAUGCUCUUUAGGAGGCUUUAAUGAUUUAUAAUCAAAACCAACUGCUUGCAUGGAAACAGGAGUUCCAAAUACUUGCUCUAAUCAUUAACUUUAUGUGUCAACUUGGCUGGCCCAUUGAACCCAGAUAUUUGAUCCAACCUGUCUCAAUUUCACUGUGGAGAUAUUUUUUACAUGAGAUUAAUAUUGAAAUCAGUAGAUUUUGAGUAAAGCUGAUUACCUCCUAUAAUGUGGGUGGACCUCAUCCCAUCAGUUGAAGGCCUUAAAGGAAAAGGAUUGACCUUCCCCAAGGAAAAGGGAAUUCUGCCAGCAGAUGGCCUUGGGGCUCUGCUACAACAACUCUUCCCUACUCUCCAGCCUGCCCUGCAUUAUUUCAGACUUGCUAGCCCCCACAAUCACAUGAGCCAAUCCCUUAAAAUAAAUCCCUCUCUCUGCAUAUAUAUAUACAUAUAAAUACAUACACAUAUAGAUCAUCCAUCCAUCUAUCCA
rnacentral:lncRNA from 1 species